rnacentral:rRNA from 1 species
AUUGAACGCUGGCGGCAGGCCUAACACAUGCAAGUCGAACGGUAGCACAGAGAGCUUGCUCUCGGGUGACGAGUGGCGGACGGGUGAGUAAUGUCUGGGAAACUGCCCGAUGGAGGGGGAUAACUACUGGAAACGGUAGCUAAUACCGCAUAACGUCGCAAGACCAAAGAGGGGGGCCUUCGGGCCUCUCACCAUCGGAUGAACCCAGAUGGGAUUAGCUAGUAGGCGGGGUAACGGCCCACCUAGGCGACGAUCCCUAGCUGGUCAGAGAGGAUGAGCAGCCACACUGGAACUGAGACACGGUCCAGACUCCUACGGGAGGCAGCAGUGGGGAAUAUUGCACAAUGGGCGCAAGCCUGAUGCAGCCAUGCCGCGUGUAUGAAGAAGGCCUUCGGGUUGUAAAGUACUUUCAGCGGGGAGGAAGGCGAUGUGGUUAAUAACCGCGUCGAUUGACGUUACCCGCAGAAGAAGCACCGGCUAACUCCGUGCCAGCCGCCGCGGUAA